UUAGAAUCAUGGUUCGAGUAAUGGUUUUGAAUCCAAAUUUAAUCGGUUUGAUCCCGAUUCUGAUCCAACCAUGGUCAGGUGCAGGCAUAAUGCAACGUGCAAGCUAGCUUCUCAAAACGGGAAAAACUAAAAAGGGGACAUAUGUGUAGUGGAUUCUGGCAUAUUCUGCACUGCAAAAACUUAAUUUUGCCGUAGAAAAAGUGAGCUUGAGCUUUCAAAAUGACAUGACAUUAAUGACUAUGGCUACAAAGGAAUUGGCGAAGAAGAGUUUCUAAGAGCAGAUAAACAUUUUUGGAAUCUAAUGAGUUAGUGGGUCGGCCUUAAAGGUGAUGGAGGGAUGGUUGUGGUGAAUGCCUUUACUUUAGAUGGAGCAGCACUACACUCAGAAUUAAUCUCAACCCAAUAGAUGUUUUGGUUGAAACGAAAAGGAGGCCACUUAACCCCAAUCCUCCUCCAUACACUAUAUUCCCUCAUAUAUGCUUUGGGAAGAGAGAGAUCACUUAUUAGCUUAUUCUUCCAGAAACCAAAAUGCUACCCCAUGUCCUUUUCUUCUUCUUUCUCUUGGAUAGAGUACUAGGCGUGGCACGACUGCAGCGAUUCGUUGAUAUUAGAGGUACAUAAUUUGCAAGUAAGAAACUUGUUUAGACUUUAGAACUGGAAUGAGUUCUCUAACUGGAUCUAACUCUUUGCUGUUUAAAUACUACGACAUAGAAACUUAACAGCUGCAUCCAUGCAAGGAAAACAACUAUUUAGGCUUACUAUAUGUUUAGCUCCAGGUCUCAAAUGGGGAGGAUUGGCCUUCCAUACCUAUAAAGCAUGGUAGGUAUAGGAGCCAGUCGGCUAGGAGGUGAUUGCUUCGCAAUAAAGAAGACAAAACAUCGAAAAGCAUAAACGCACUGGUCUACAAGGUUCGUUUAAUACCUUGACUACCGGCAAAUACCAGAUCAGAGAAUUCCACCAUACGAUUAUAUUA